AAGCUCGUAGUUGAAUUUCGGGGUUAGUAGGUUGGUCAUGCCUCCGGUAUGUACUGGUCUCACUGAUUCCUCCUUCCUGAUGAGCCGUAAUGCCAUUAAUUUGGUGUUGCGGGGAAUUUGGACUGUUACUUUGAAAAAAUUAGAGUGUUUAAAGCAAGCUAACGCUUGAAUACAUUAGCAUGGAAUAAUGAAAUAGGACGUUCGAUCCUAUUUUGUUUGGUUUCUAGGAUUGACGUAAUGAUUAAUAGGGAUAGUUGGG
rnacentral:rRNA from 1 species